rnacentral:rRNA from 1 species
UUAUUUCAGGAGAGGUGUUAAGUGCGAGUCAAAAAUAUUGUAUUCUGGGCCUAUCUGUCUACGUUUGCGGGUGUUUUUUCUCAUGCCACAAGCGAGUUCUUUGCAGUUUUGUCAGGUGUUAGAGGUCCUGAACUAACGGUCUGGCGCUUUUUUGUAGGGGCCAUUUGUCUCCUAAUCGUGUCAUUGUCAUCCAAGAGUUCCAGGAAUCUGCUGCAACCACUGAGAGAACAUCCUUUUCAGGUUGGAUCGCUUGUGCUUCUCGGCAUGACAUUGGCGCAACUGUUUUUUCACUGGGCACUCGAUUAUGCCUCCCCCAUUCAGGUGGCGACCAUGGUUACGGUAAUGCCAAUAUUAGUUGGGGU